AAAGUCGUAACAAGGUUUCCGUAGGUGAACCUGCGGAAGGAUCAUUACCAAAUAAACCGGCCGAAAGGCCUUGCCCAACGGGGAGGGGAAACCCAACCCGGAACGGUAAACCCUUUGUGAAAACCCCCUUGUUUGCCUCGGCGGCACCCUUUCGAGGGGUCAGCCCGCCGACGGCACAUCAGAAACCCCUUUUUUUUUUUGAAUUGAAGAAUUAGUCUGAAUCAAUGGUCGAAUGACUAUAAAACUUUCAACAACGGAUCUCUUGGUUCCC
rnacentral:misc_RNA from 1 species